GAGAUAUGGGAGGGAGCUGGAGAAA
rnacentral:piRNA from 1 species